AAAGUGCCAUUUCCAUGGACAGGUCACCUUGUUGAAGACAUACCCUACCUAUCAGAGCUACGCUGCUCUUCCAAAGGAGGAUGAAACAAGCGUUACAGAUUCUUUCCUCUUACCUCUCACACUGAUAAAAGACAAGCAGGGAGGAAGAAAGGACUCCCUACCAUGGACCCAUCUUGCAGUUGUCAUUCAUAUGAAACACAAAGUAGAAACAUGAUCGUCUUUCCAAGUUUGUAAAAGAGGCCAGUGAAUCACAUUCUGCAAGAAGAAGAGAGUUUCCUAAAUGAGGGAGAUGUGCUUUUUUUCUCCUUGUCCUGUUGUUGGCAAAGCCUGAAAGUGGACUUCAACUUCACAGUGAAUUUUUACACUCUGGAUGGGCAAGAGUGUUUCAGGAGCUUGGUUUCUUCCCACUGUCUGCCCCCAAAAGAACAGAAAAGAUUGAGAUUUUCUGAAGCUGAACUGACUGACUAUUCAGUGAUUCACAGGGCAAUUGACUUGGAAUCAGUGAAGAAUUUCUUUUCACAUUCCACCCCAGCAGAGGCUGCUGAGCCAAGGUAAGGGUCUCUUCU
rnacentral:lncRNA from 1 species